rnacentral:lncRNA from 1 species
UAGCUUUCGUAUAAUUAGCAGCAUAUCAAAUGGUUUAAGCUAAGCAUAGCCAACAGCUGUUAUUCAGCUGGUUGGGAAGACUUGCCCCUGGGAUGAGUUCAUGUUCGCACCCAUAUUGUGUCACCUUCAUUUAUCUUAAGAAGAAAAAAGGAAAAGCUUUAAGCCUUUAACUUAUCCUUUGGUUUCCUGCUCGGAGCAAUGGAGUGCAAUGCUAUCAGCCAUCUGAUCCUCGUGUACAGGGGACCAAUGCUUGUUGCAGGCGAGAGAUUGGUGCUUGAAAGUAGCAGUCUUUUGAAAAUUAUAUAUAUAUAUAUAAAUAUGUAUGUGUGUAUAUAUAUAUAUAUGUGUGUGUGUGUGUAAAGGUUGUGUACGAGAAAAAUUUCUUUUCCUGUGUGACACUGCGAGUUUCAUGUAAAUCUUGUAUAAAUAAGAAAGUAUCAUUUGUCAUAUAAUACAAGGGGAUUCAUGUAAAUUGCGAGAAUUAGUGUUGUAUAGAAGGCCUGGUUGGAAGGCGACUUAUGAAACCAGCAAAAGCUAUGUCCCAAUGGAAG